CUUCGGCUCGCGCGCGGUGCACGCACCCACUGACGUGUGUCCACUGUCUGGCACUCCCUAGUGAGAUGAACCCGGUACCUCAGAUGGAAUUGCAGAAAUCACCCGUCUUCUGCUUUGCUCCCGCUGGGAGCUGUAGACCGGAGCUGUUCCUAUUCAGCCAUCUUGGCUCCUCCUGACUUUGUUUUUUUAUAAUCUUGCUUACAUGUUUUCAUGACUCCUGGCAUGGGGAGUAGCUACAGAGAAAUCUAAGAAUGGCCCUGUCUGAGAGAUAUGUUACCCUAAACACCAAGACUCAAUAUAUAUGACUUAAGAAAAAAAAGAUCCUUAUGCACUAUCUGAAGGUGAUGCUUCCUGACUUUUGCAACAGAAAGAAUGCUGUCUUCCUGUGCCUGCGGAGAUGAUAAUCAAGCUGGCACACUGACAAUCAAUGUAAAUUCAUUAAACAAAACAGGAAGUAAACAGGUAGGACAUCUUUCUCCUCUGUGCUCCUUCCUUUUCCUCAUGAGAGAAGAAUGGACUAACCUCAUUGAUUGAGAUUGUCAUGACAAUGUGUCUCCUCCCCUUUCCUUUCUGAUUCUGGGUUGAACCCCAAGGAAACAUGAUGAACCAGGUUGCAUGACUGUGAAGGCAGGAUAAAAGAAAAGCAGAAGAACCACAUUAAUCAUGGCAGACAUUGAUGAAGAAGGACAAUGAGGGCACAUGCUGUAUGCCAGACUCGUCACUGAAAAUACUAGGCCUCUGUCUGAGUGGA
rnacentral:lncRNA from 1 species